rnacentral:tRNA from 1 species
UGGGACUUGGUGUAGUGGAAGUCACAUGAGAUUUUGGCUCUUAUAGCAGAGGUUCGAGUCCUCUAGUCCCAA